UGUUAUGGCCAUGCCCUGCCAAGUUUGCAUCACUUCAAGGCUUCUUGGGGCAACGUUUCUGGUUAAAAAGUUUCAGAAAAAUGAACAAGUUUUGAUGUUGAGGCAAAAAUGUAGGAGCUAUAAU
rnacentral:pre_miRNA from 1 species